rnacentral:misc_RNA from 1 species
GAUGAAGAACGCAGCGAAAUGCGAUAAGUAAUGUGAAUUGCAGAAUUCAGUGAAUCAUCGAAUCUUUGAACGCACUUUGCGCCCGCCAGUAUUCUGGCGGGCAUGCCUGUCUGAGCGUCAUUUCAACCCUCAUGCCCCUAGGGCGUGGUGUUGGGGAUCGGCCAAAGCCCGCGAGGGACGGCCGGCCCCUAAAUCUAGUGGCGGACCCGUCGUGGCCUCCUCUGCGAAGUAGUGAUAUUCCGCAUCGGAGAGCGAUGAGCCCCUGCCGUUAAACCCCCAACUUUCCAAGGUUGACCUCAGAUCAGGUAGGAAUACCCGCUGAACUUAAGCAUAUCAAUAAGCGGAGGA